CCCAAUGACCUUCUUUCCUCGCGGUGACCACUCCUCCCGCUGCUUCCCUGCGCGGCCACAAACAGCCGGGAGUCUGCCCACAUUCCUGCGACCUGCGGCAGGGUGCUGCUCCCCAUUUCUCAGGAGGAAAAGCUCUCUUGGAAGAGCUGGAAAGGUAAGAAAACUGAGGCCCAGAGAGGAGGGAGAGAGCCCAACUUGAGUCUGCAGUCCAGCGUUUUCUCUGCUGCUCUGAAGUGAAAAUAGCAAUUCAGCUAACCCUUAGAGACUGAGUGGCAGUCAGGCUUCAGAUCCAGCCAGUGCCCGACUCCAGCCAUGCUGGCGCUGCUGUGUGCCUACCUGCUCAUGGCGACACACGCCUCGGAAGCCUGGACCAACCCAGACCCGCAGGAGCCCGGCUUCGGCAUGGAGGAGCAGAUCCGCGACAUGCACGCCAAAGUGACGGAGAUCUGGCAGGAGAUGAAGCAGCGGCGGGCGGCGG